GGUGUUGUAGACUAGUUGGUUAGUUCGGCUCCAUGGAACGGAGGAGAUGCGGGUUCGAUUCCCGCCGACGCCU